AACAACUCACCUGCCGAAUGAAUUAGCCCUGAAAAUGGAUGGCGCUCAAGCGCGCGGCCGACACCGUACCAUUGAAGUUUACUGAUGAACUCAAUGAGUAGGAGGGCGCAGGGAUAAACUAGCGAAGUUCAUGCGCGAGCGUGGAUGGAAGUGUCUCUGGUGCAGAUCUUGGUGGUAGUAGCAAAUAUUCAAGCGAGAUCCUUGAAGGGCGAAGUGGGGAAGGGUUCCACGCGAACAUUGAUUGGACGUGGGUGAGUCGUUCCUAAGCGAAGCGGCAAUGGUGCUUAUAUUUCGCGAAAGGGAAGCCAGUUAAAAUUCUGGCGCAUGUGCACGGGCACAGUGGUGACACGCAAUAGUUUUCUUUCCCUUUUUUAAGGGAGGGGAGACUUGCAUUGUAGGUGGGGGCGAGCACGCUAGCGAGCGCCUCGGACAGAGUUGUCUUUUCUGUUUAAAUUAUCCUCGUACGGCUGGUGUGGAAGAACGUUACGUUGAGAAACACAGCCCGGGAUGAAGAGCGUUGCAAUUUUUGCAGCGUCCGAAGCGCGUUCGAUGGCCCUUGAAACCUCGCUCUCCCAAUAGCUUGUAGAGUUUUUUUCUUUAUGGGAAAGAUUUUAUGGCUGAGAGCCCGUGUCGUUACGUACCGAUAACCGCAUCUGGUCCCCAGGUCUCAAACACUCUGCUCAGUAUGAAUAAU
rnacentral:rRNA from 1 species